AUCAAGAUGGUACAUGCUGAAGCCUUUUCUCGUCCUUUGAGUCGAAAUGAAGUUGUUGGUUUAAUUUUCCGUUUGACAAUAUUUGAUGCAGUGACAUACUUUACUAUCAAAUGGAUGGUAGAUGCAAUUGAUCCAACCAGAAAGCAAAAAGUAGAAGCUCAGAAACAGGCAGAAAAACUAAUGAAGCAAAUCGGUAUGAAAAAUAUGAAGCUCUCAGAAUAUGAAAUGAGUAUUGCUGCUCAUCUAGUAGACCCUCUUAAUAUGCAUGUUACUUGGAGUGAUAUAGCAGGUUUAGAUGAUGUCAUUACAGAGCUGAAAGACACAGUCAUCUUACCUAUCAAAAAGAAACAUUUGUUUGAGAAUUCCAGGCUUCUGCAACCUCCAAAAGGUGUUCUUCUCUAUGGGCCUCCAGGCUGUGGUCAAACGUUGAUUGCCAAGGCCACUGCCAAAAAAGCAGGCUGUCGAUUUAUUAACCUUCAGCCUUCGACACUGACUAACAAGUGGUAUGGUGAAUCUCAAAAAUUGGCUGCUGCUAUCUUCUCCCUUGCCAUAAAGCUACAACCAUCCAUCAUCUCUAUAGAUGAAAUAGACUCUUUUCUAUGAAACUGUUCAAGUUCUGACCAUGAAGCUACAGCCAUGAUGAAAGCUAAGUUUAUGAGUCUCUGGGAUGGAUGGGAUACUGAUCACAGUUGCCAGGUCAUAGUAAUGGGAGCUACCAGUCGUCCUCAGGACCUUUACUCUGCUAUAAUGAGAAGAAUGCCUACAAGAUUUCACAUCAACUAGCCUGCUUUAAAACAGAGAGAAGCAAUCCUGAAACUCAUCUUGAAAAAUGAAAAUGUGGAUAGGCAUGUAGACCUGUUAGAAGUUGCCCAGGAAACUGACGGCUUUUCAGGAAGUGACCUAAAAGAGAUGUGUCGAGAUGCUGCCCUCCUCUGUGUUAGAGAAUAUGUUAAUUCUACAUCAGAAGAAAGCCAUGAUGAAGAUGAAAUUCGGCCUGUUCAACAGCAGGACCUGCAUCGGGCAAUGGAAAAGAUGAAGACAUCAAAGGAUGCAGCAUUUCAGAAUGUUUUAACACAUGUUUGUUUAGAUUAAGAGUAAAGAUUAUUUGUACAGUUCAGUGAUCUAGUUUGGUGUGUCCUCUUAGCAGUCAGUGGAAAUAGAAUGGAAAGAGUGUUCUUUAAACAAUGAGGGAGCUCAAUGUUUAUGGUUUUAUACUCUGAAUUCUAAGUUAUUGAGAUAUAGUUGUUACAUAAGUGGUAUUACUGUUUGUCAAAAAUCAUGAGGAGGAACAGUUGAAUCCAGCCUGAACAUGGGUGCUUGUGUUUGACCUCUUUAGCCAUAUAUUGUACAGCCUUAUAGAAUCUAAGCUGGUCUUAAAGUCAUAAAUGAUUCAUUGGGUCAUUAGUGAGAAACAGGGAUGUGGUUAGGUGCUGGUUCCUAGACAUGCGAGUAUGCGUUUGUGUGUAUGCGCAUAUGUGUGUGUAUAUUAAAUGUAUAUAUCCACACAUUUUAUAUUGACAUUCUGUAGAUAUGUUUGAAUACAGAAACCUUUUUUACCCCAACUACUGAAUCCAGGAGUACCAAAUAAUAUAUAGUAAAACUAAGAUUUAAGGUUGUGUCAAAAAGGUACAGUGAUUCAGCCAUUUGCAUUUGUCAUUUGUUUCAACCUUUUUUAAGUUGAGUGUUUUUCUUUCUGCAGUUGAUUAGUUGGAUCCUCCACAUCUUGCAUAUAUACAUGGGCUCAAUUAUUAUGUUUGUCAGGAUAAUCAAAUAAAAAUAUUAGUUUGUGAUCAGCAUUGAAUGGUUGUUAGGCAGUCAUGUGCUCAAUACUGAUUUCACCUCUUUCUGUAAGUACACUGAGUAUAAACUUUUUAAGUUUAAAUUGAUUUACAUGAAAGUGGAUUAAAAGACUUUUCAAAAGCAAAGGUUUGAAAAACCUCAGUACCCUUUAAUACAUGUACAUUUCUUUACUUUCUUCAUUUAAUGUAACAUAUGUCUGUUGUAACUAUGUUUCUUAAAUAUUAUUUUAAGGUUAUGUGUUCUUUAAUUAUGGUCAAAUAUAAUUUGGUCACCAAAAAUGAAAUAAUAGUUUAAAACAAGUAGCUGUUACUAAGUGUGCUAAAAAUACUCAUUUUGUAAUUAAUUUUACUUUUCUUAGUAUAUUAUAAAUUAUACCCUGGUCAAGUACAAAUGUACACAUCAAAAUGCCCAUAUUGUAUCUAUCUGUAGUCAUUUAAUGUGAAUUAUAUGUCAAAUUUUUUUCAAUAUUUUACUAACCAGAAUUCUGUUAUAGGCACCUAAACAUGCAGCAUGAGGAAAAUGGCACAACACAAUCUUGAGGUGCCUUCUGAAUCAUCAGAUUAAAUUAUGCUUCAUAUGUUUUUGAUUUUACUAUACUUAUUUAAAAACUCUCAAUCUUUAUUCAUGUGUUACUGGAUUAAUUUAUCUGAUAAUGUCUCUCACAACAAUCUAUAAGAUCAUUUAUUCUUUGGUUGUACUUUGAAUGGAGGGGUAGAAGUUUCAGGUGAACACUGGAUAACAAAAAGCAAGUUAAUGGAAGAUUGUGAAGAGGAUGGAAAAAUUGAAUACGAGAUGCCAAAAAUG